GAACAGAGUGGUCAGCGUUGGGGAUGA
rnacentral:piRNA from 1 species